UGGGGAAUAUUGCACAAUGGGCGCAAGCCUGAUGCAGCCAUGCCGCGUGUGUGAAGAAGGCCUUCGGGUUGUAAAGCACUUUCAGCGGGGAGGAAGGCGUUAAGGUUAAUAACCUUGGCGAUUGACGUUACCCGCAGAAGAAGCACCGGCUAACUCCGUGCCAGCAGCCGCGGUAAUACGGAGGGUGCAAGCGUUAAUCGGAAUUACUGGGCGUAAAGCGCACGCAGGCGGUCUGUCAAGUCGGAUGUGAAAUCCCCGGGCUCAACCUGGGAACUGCAUUCGAAACUGGCAGGCUAGAGUCUUGUAGAGGGGGGUAGAAUUCCAGGUGUAGCGGUGAAAUGCGUCGAGAUCUGGAGGAAUACCGGUGGCGAAGGCGGCCCCCUGGACAAAGACUGACGCUCAGGUGCGAAAGCGUGGGGAGCAAACAGG
rnacentral:rRNA from 1 species